rnacentral:rRNA from 1 species
UUAACGACUCUCGGCAACGGAUAUCUCGGCUCUCGCAUCGAUGAAGAACGCAGCGAAAUGCGAUACUUGGUGUGAAUUGCAGGAUCCCGCGAACCAUCGAGUUUUNGAACGCAAGUUGCGCCCGAAGCCUUUUGGCCGAGGGCACGUCUGCCUGGGUGUCACUC